GGAUAGGAUUGGACAGGGUCAGGAGCGAGAUCCGCCAUAUCGGGCAGCCGAGUUGUAAGACAAACUUCUGGAUACCAUAACUUAGUUAUACAAUAUCCGAUUGAGAUGAUCCUUUUUUCUUUUUGAAUCAAUCAAUUUUUCAAGAUCUACUAUACAAUGUCUCGUUUUUAAGGGGUGGCACCUUUAGCGAUUAGGCUCAAAUUCCAUUAUUUUGAGUCUAAAAUGGAAUUGUCAAACUGAAAGUUUUCUUUUGGAUAAGAUUUUGAUUGAAUGUAUCUUCCAAUCUUAGAAGAAUCAAAUAGAGCGACAGAAGGCAGAGCUAAUAUAGAAAUCGAGAUUUACC
rnacentral:lncRNA from 1 species